UUGAAAUCCUUAGGAUGUUGCUGGCCUUUCAGGGCAUUGUGCACUCCGCCUUCUUCAUCUCACCUGUGAACUUAUUGUAGGCCUGGAUGUUCAUGAAAUGUCUGUGUCUAUGUUAUUUUUACACACACCGAGUUUAUUAGAAUGUCUAAUGUUUAAGACCUUCACUGGUCAAAAAUAUAAUAA
rnacentral:misc_RNA from 1 species